UGCUUAACACAUGCAAGUCGAACGGCAGCACGGUCUAGCUUGCUAGACUGGUGGCGAGUGGCGAACGGGUGAGUAACGCGUAGGAAUAUGCCUUAAAGAGGGGGAUAACCUGGGGAAACUCAGGCUAAUACCGCAUAAUUUCUUAGGAAAAAAGCUGGGGACCUUAGGGCCUGGCGCUUUAAGAUUAGCCUGCGUCCGAUUAGCUAGUUGGUGGGGUAAGGGCCUACCAAGGCGACGAUCGGUAGCUGGUCUGAGAGGAUGAUCAGCCACACUGGGACUGAGACACGGCCCAGACUCCUACGGGAGGCAGCAGUGGGGAAUAUUGGACAAUGGGGGCAACCCUGAUCCAGCAAUGCCGCGUGUGUGAAGAAGGCCUGAGGGUUGUAAAGCAC
rnacentral:rRNA from 1 species